GACGUAGGGCGCGAGCGUUGUCCGGAUUUAUUGGGCGUAAAGAGCUCGUAGGUGGUUUGUCGCGUUGUUCGUGAAAUGCCACAGCUUAACUGUGGGCGUGCGGGCGAUACGGGCAGACUGGAGUACUGCAGGGGAGACUGGAAUUCCUGGUGUAGCGGUGGAAUGCGCAGAUAUCAGGAGGAACACCGGUGGCGAAGGCGGGUCUCUGGGCCGAUACUGACGCUGAGGAGCGAAAGCGUGGGGAGCGAACAGG
rnacentral:rRNA from 1 species